rnacentral:rRNA from 1 species
GACGAACGCUGGCGGCGUGCUUAACACAUGCAAGUCGAACGAAGUGGCGAACGGGUGAGUAACGCGUAAUCAACCUGCCCUUCAGAGGGGUACAACCGUUGGAAACGACUUCUAAUACCGCAUACUCACGGAGGGGUUUGCGUCUGAUUGGCUGGUGGGAUGGGUAACGGCCUACCAAGGCGAGGAUCAGUAGCCGGACUGGGAGGAUGAACGGCCACAGUGGGACUGGGACACGGCCCAGACUCCUACGGGAGGCAGCAGUGGGGAAACUUCCGCAAUGGAGGAAAGUCUGAAGGGGGAAAGCCGCGUGAGUGAUGAAGGCCUUCGGGUUGGAAAGCUCUGUUAAUCGGGAAGCGGUACCGGAAUAGAAAGCCACGGCUAACUACGUGCCAGCAGCCGCGGUAAUAC